AGUGCUCGGGGCUUCUCCCGUUUAGGCAGAGACGGGAGAAGG
rnacentral:tRNA from 1 species